rnacentral:tRNA from 1 species
UAAUAUAUUUAGUAUACUUGACUUCCAAUCAAAAAGUUUAAUAAUUUUAAUAUAAAUAAUU